ensembl:lncRNA
AUGUCAAAGCAUAAGGACCUGAGAACCACCGGCAUUUGCAGUUCAACGUACUGUUACUACAUUACCAACCGUUCUGUGUGCAGGCUUGCCGAGAGGGCAUGGAUGCCCAACCUCAGAUUUCCACCAGAGAAUUCCUGUGAUUCUUUAUUUCAGGCGCCAUUGUUCCCCAGGGGACAUUUGGCAAUGCCUAGAGAUCAUUCUUGUCUCGGGUUUACAGAGGAGUGCGGAGGUCCUGCAUCUAGAGGGUGGAGGCCAGAGGUGCUGCUCAUCCACACACACAGGAUGGACCCUGUGGCUGAGUGCUAUCCAGCCCUCAAAUGCCAACGGCACCGAAGAUGGGAGACUCCAUUAGACCUCAGAGUCCAAAUGGAUGGGGAGUUUUCCAAAGCUGCACCCAUCAUGUGUGAGUCUGAUCACACGUGGGUCAGAGCAGAUCAGAGCUGCCAGCACAGAGGCUGCUCAAGAUGAGAGAAUGUCAGCCAUGCGACUGCUCCCUGGGUGGAGAUGACCCUACGAUACAGCCAGGCUGCUGAGGCUGAGCCUGCCUCCCACCUGUGACUCUGUCCAGGACCUCUGAGGCCUGCCUCUCACCAGGGCACCUGAGAAACAUGAUCAGUGGAGAGCUCCUGAUGGGGACAGGAACAGCAUCCGACAAAUCCAGGUCUCCUUUCUGACCCUCUGUGUCCCCCAGCCCUGCUCGCCAAAGCUGCAGACAUACUAACUCUUUCUUCUGUCUAACUCUUUCCGGAAUUCUUACCCAUCACCUGCUGCUCACGGAUUCCAGCCGUUCAUGAGGAGAGCAUCAGCCAAACUUCUGUGUUUGUGACGAUUGCUUAGACAGCUUGUAAAUGUGACAUGGAGGUACUUUAACUGUUGUUCUGGGUCCCUGCUGCCCAGGCACCUGGUUCUCUGUGUAUUACUGACUUCUAUUUUGCAGCAGAAAGGUUCUUUGCUGAUGUAAGAUUAACGUGUGCUCUCUUGAAGGUGUGAUGGUGAAACUUCCCUGUGUUAGCUUUCUUGCUAUGGUUGUCAUUUUCUAUUUCAAUUAAACAAAAGGAAGAUUUAACUCUAUGUCUGGCUCCCACACACUUGUCUUUGAAAGCCACAGCUCCAGGGUCCACUGAGGCAGGAUAAAUCCCUUCCACCCCUGCUCCCUUCUGAACUCUCUGUGUUAUCACAGCUGAGGUAAAAGGUAGAGGCUGCAGACAGCCAACCCAUCACUCUCCUGACCCCUGUACCCGCCAUCUGAGAGCAAGGUUUAUUUCCCUCACCUCCCACCUUCAGCAACUGCACUGUCUCUGAUGCACAGGAAAUACACAGCAGAUGUUCAAGGAAUGAAUGAAUGAGUGAAUGAAUGAAUGACCAGCUCAGUCUGUUGCCAAGGAAUACCAAGUAGGCAACCAUAGUGGCAUUCAUUCAUUCACUACUAACGGAAACACCACAGCAGUAAGGAGUCUGAGACAGGAGGAUCACUCUAAAUCUGAGGCCAAGCUGAACUACAGAGUGAGACUCUGUCUCAGAGAAAAGAGCAAAAUAAGAAAAACAUUUGUGUUGCACUUGGGUGUCAGGUAGUGUUCUGAGCUCUUAGCCUACAUGUCAGCGGUUAGGCUGUAGGUACCGCUGUCAUCUCCACUGCACAAAUGAGGAAACUGAGUCACAGCGAGGCUUCUUACCCGAGGCAGGUGAGCAGGGCUGGAAAUCUUACUCUGGGAUCAUGUCUCAAAGAGGCUUAUAGCAGCUUCUUAGGUUGACUACAAACAUCAGAGUGUGGAACCCAAGAGAUCACUGGCCACUACUGGUGUGUCCUCAAGAAGCCUGGUGCUCAUUAGAAGCAGGUAGCCUCUGGAGGUGAGGUGACAGGUGUGUCAAGGCCACAAGGGAACCAAGAAGUGACUCCAGUUACAUCUCCCAAGCCUGCUCCCAGUCCAGCUACCUUCCCUGUUCUAUAAAAAGCACCGAUCGUCAUCCCCGGACCAAACUCACUCUGCCUCGGGUCUCCACCUAUCUUGUUUCUGGCGAAGAUGGCCACACCCUUCACGCUGCAUUGAGGACUCUGUUCUCAGAACCCAGACACAGCAUCUGACAUGCAAAGGAAAGGUCAUUUAUGAGAUCUUUUCCUUCAAGAUCCACAGCCCAGCACCGCUAACUGUAUUGUAAGUAGGUACCAAUGGUCCAGCCCAGGCCAUUGUCCACCUGCAUUGAACAUUGUCCGAUUCCCAGCCCCACCCACCUUGCCGGCCAGCAUUCGCACUGCAAUUGGAGAUUUACAAACUUGGCAUGUAAACACAAGCAUCCACAAGCUGUGUCCUGUCCCCUGGUCCUCUUGGAUUGUGUGAUACAAGACAGGUUUGUUGGGAUAGGAGAGGUCUGCUGAGAUAUAUGUAUGAACAGACACAGCUGCCCCUGUCCAGGAUCCUGCUAUACUGUGGGUUGCUAGGCGGCUAUCUUUCCUGGGGACAGGCCUGUCCUCUCUUUUGGGUGUGUUCCUGAGGGUAAAUGCUCCCUCUUGCUCUCUCUUGGGCCCUCACAAUGCCCAGUUCAAGAAUGUCAAACUAGUAACAUCUGCCUACAUGGUGAAUAGACAAGGUGCAGGAAUCAGGUAAGGAACUCGUGAAAGGAAUGCCGCCCCAUCCUGGCACCUGCUGGAUCAAUGGCUUCCUUUAUUAGCUUACCAAAGCUGGCUGUACCUCUGGAGUUGACGAGGGGUAGAGAGAAUAGGGAAAGAACCCGGGACUCUGGUGGCUCCUCAGUGAUUCCCAGCAGGUCGGUCUGUUUACUUAGCUGCCAGCUGUAGUCUCCCAACCCCACCUUCUCUGGAAUUUUCCACUUGGCUUCUGAUUGUUCUCUCCCGCAGCUCCACAGUUAACUUGUAUACAAGUCAGGAUGCUGGAUCCAUCUGUGCUGACGUAGCCAAUAGCAUUGUCCACCAUGGCAAUCAGCGCUUGCAUGGAUGCUGCCCAAGGGUUUGCAAGAACAUUCCAGUCCAGCCCUCCAGCUUCCGGACCAGAGCUCCAAGCAUUGGCACAGCAGCCUGGAAAGUUUUCCCUUCUGGGAGAAAACAGACGACCAGUGGAGAAUCAUGGAGUGAAGGGUGAACCAUUGAGAAGCCAGGGGUUGGGUGAUGGGGAGUCAGAAAAGGCUCUGUACCAGGCUGGCACCCCAGGCCAGACAAUCAAGAUCCUGGAGUUAAAGAAGAAAUAAACAAGUCUGUUACCUGCUCGACCGCA